GCAUUGGUGGUUCAGUGGUAGAGUUCUCAUCUCCCAUGUGGAAGGCCCAGGUUCAGCUCCUGGCCAAUGUA
rnacentral:tRNA from 1 species